rnacentral:lncRNA from 1 species
CUUGCAAUGAAGGCAGUCACAAUGCUGAGACUCCUACAUGUCACCAUCUACAUGGGGAGAGGUGUGAGGAAGAGCUGAGUCAGCACAGACAGGAUGCUUCUCUGGAGUGCUGGCAUGCGUGUAGAUCCUACAGCACCUAGCACCCUCAGUCUGGCCUCCUCGACUCUGGACUGCUGUAGACAAUCGCCAUGGGAUUGGUGGUGCGGAUGGAGAAUGGUCAGUGUUUACCAACAGGUGAUCAGGGCGGGAGGAUCGGUUGACACCUCUCUUGCAGAGCUGGGGGAGUCUCUCAGGACGAGUUUGUUCUCGUGAUGCUUAGUUCUGUUCUUGUGGACCUGGAUUCGUUUCCUUAAAAGCAGGUUCUCAUGAGUUGUGCCUGAUCCUUGGGUUUCUCCUCUUCCCCGUGCCUGCCCUUCCAAUUCUCUGUAAGCACAAGGCCAAGGUGGCUUCCUAGAAGCCAAGUGGAUGCCCACACCAGGCACUUGGACUUCAAGCCGCCACUGUUGAAAGCCAAAUGCUCUUCUUUAUAAGUUACCCUACCUCUGCCAUUCUGUCAUAGCAAUGGAAAGUGGACUAAGAGUCUUGAUAAAUUAAAAGAAUAUCU